UCGGGGGCGACCCUGCCGUCUCGCGGCGGCGGCGCCCCCGGCGGCCCCUCCAAACGCUGCUUCUGUGCGUCGGAGUCUCAAUCGAAUUGAAACAAAACUUUCAACAACGGAUCUCUUGGUUCUGGCAUCGAUGAAGAACGCAGCGAAAUGCGAUAAGUAAUGUGAAUUGCAGAAUUCAGUGAAUCAUCGAAUCUUUGAACGCACAUUGCGCCCCGUGGUAUUCCGCAGGGCAUGCCUGUUCGAGCGUCAUUUCACCACUCAAGCCUGGCUUGGUAUUGGGCGCCGCGUGUCCGCACGCGCGCCUCAAAGUCUCCCCGGCCGAGCGCGCCCGCCUCUCCGCGUUGUGACAUCAUGUUCGCGGCGGAGCGUGGGCGGCCGCGGCCGUUAAGCCUUUUAUCACAGGUUGACCUCGGAUCAGGUAGGGAUACCCGCUGAACUUAAGCAUAUCAAUAAGCGGAGGAAAAGAAACCAACAGGGAUUGCCCUAGUAACGGCGAGUGAAGCGGCAACAGCUCAAAUUUGAAAUCUGGCGUCAGCCCGAGUUGUAAUUUGCAGAGGAUGCUUCUGGGCAGCGGCCGUUCUAAGUCCCUUGGAACAGGGCGUCAUAGAGGGUGAGAAUCCCGUAUGUGACCGGCGCGCACCCUCCACGUAGCUCCUUCGACGAGUCGAGUUGUUUGGGAAUGCAGCUCUAAAUGGGAGGUAAAUUUCUUCUAAAGCUAAAUACUGGCCAGAGACCGAUAGCGCACAAGUAGAGUGAUCGAAAGAUGAAAAGCACUUUGGAAAGAGAGUUAAACAGCACGUGAAAUUGUUGAAAGGGAAGCGCUCACGACCAGACAUCGCGGCGGUGUUCCGCCGGUCUUCUGACCGGUCCACUCGCCGCCGCGAGGCCAACAUCAUCCGGGGCCGCCGGACAAGACCGCGGGAAUGUAGCUCCCCUCGGGGAGUGUUAUAGCCCGCGGUGAUGCGGCGCGCCUCGGGUGAGGUCCG
rnacentral:rRNA from 1 species